ACGUAGGGUCCGAGCGUUGUCCGGAAUUAUUGGGCGUAAAGGGCUCGUAGGCGGUUUGUCACGUCGGAAGUGAAAACUCAGGGCUCAACCCUGAGCGUGCUUACGAUACGGGCAAACUAGAGGUAUGCAGGGGAGAACGGAAUUCCUGGUGUAGCGGUGGAAUGCGCAGAUAUCAGGAGGAACACCGGUGGCGAAGGCGGUUCUCUGGGCAUUACCUGACGCUGAGGAGCGAAAGCAUGGGGAGCGAACAGG
rnacentral:rRNA from 1 species